GACGAACGCUGGCGGCGUGCCUAAUACAUGCAAGUAGAACGCACAGUUUAUACCGUAGCUUGCUACACCAUAGACUGUGAGUUGCGAACGGGUGAGUAACGCGUAGGUAACCUGCCUGGUAGCGGGGGAUAACUAUUGGAAACGAUAGCUAAUACCGCAUAAUAUUGAUUAUUGCAUGAUAAUUGAUUGAAAGAUGCUAUUGCAUCACUACCAGAUGGACCUGCGUUGUAUUAGCUAGUAGGUGAGGUAACGGCUCACCUAGGCGACGAUACAUAGCCGACCUGAGAGGGUGAUCGGCCACACUGGGACUGCGGCACGGCCCAGACUCCUACGGGAGGCAGCAGUAGGGAAUCUUCGGCAAUGGACGAAAGUCUGACCGAGCAACGCCGCGUGAGUGAAGAAGGUUUUCGGAUCGUAAAGCUCUGUUGUAAGAGAAGAACGGGUGUGAGAGUGGAAAGUUCACACUGUGACGGUAUCUUACCAGAAAGGGACGGCUAACUACGUG
rnacentral:rRNA from 1 species